rnacentral:lncRNA from 1 species
CCUGGAGGAUUUCGCUUUCGCUUUCCUGCUGCUGUCGUUGAGGAAAAUAAAACGGCCGUGGCCAGGGCAGACGCAGCUGCUGUUCCGGGCGAGGGGCGCAGAAGGGACCCCGAGCCUUGCGCCGCGGCGCGCGCCGGGCGAGAAGUUUGAAAGACGGGGGUUGCCUAGUCCUUGCGCUUGGCUGUGGAUAAACACUCACAUCUCACUUGUAAGAACUGGGCUCCAUCCCAGUCUGUGGACACGGCCCUGCCCUUUGGAUGACCCCCAUCCCUGGCAAGAGAAGAUACAUAUGAUGGCAGCACGCCCUGGGCCUCUCUGCACUGUCCUGAAGGUGGACAGUAGAGAAACAAGAAAAUGGACUCCCUUUUCCUGGAGACCUGACUGAAUGCCAGCCACCGUGUGUUUACAAAAACAGAAACCAAAUCAGUGAAACCAGACUUUUUCCUAGAUGUUGCAAGUGAGGCAUCCUCUACAUUGUAAGUGUGUGCCCCUUCCCAUCUGUACCUGUGCCUUUUGCCUUGACUCACCAGGAACAGAGUACACACCCAAAAUCGUUCAACAAGUGUCUGGUAAGCUGGAAGUGUGAGGUGUUCCAGGCAGGGACCCUGUGGUCCUUCCUCCAGGUGCUCACAAUGUGGACUGUUCACAUACUGCUAUAGGGCCAUCCUGACCCAGCAGGUCCCAAGUUUCUCUCUGCCCUGGAGACUGUGCAGCCCCUCGUCAGAGUUCUCUCUCUGAUCCCCCUCUCCUCUCCUACCAAUUAAUGUCACAGCUUUGUUCUGAGCACAGUAGAAAAUAACACUAAGCUUCAUAUUUGGGAGUAAGUGUACCUUCUGCACUUCAUGCCAAGGGCAACUACAGCAUUCUUUGGUGUUACUGAGGGAUUUAGACAAGACCCUUCUUGAAUUUCAGCACCUGCUAGGGUUGGUGAUGACCUUCCCUUAUGCAGCCCCUGAGGGACCCACCUGACAAGGAUCCUGUGACAUCUUCCCUCAGUAUCACAAGUCCUUUGCACGGAACUUGAUCCCUUUUCCGUCACUCCAAUUCAUGCCAGCUUUGCCUCAUACUGUAUUUUGGACAUAUUCAACUGGAAUGUUAGGUCAUGAUUUUACCAAAUACCAGAUCUCAAUGAGAGUUCAUUAUGGUUGGAGGAAGGUAGUAUUUUGCAAAUCAAGUUUGC